rnacentral:rRNA from 1 species
CACGCAGGCGGUUUGUUAAGUCAGAUGUGAAAUCCCCGGGCUCAACCUGGGAACUGCAUUUGAAACUGGCAAGCUAGAGUCUCGUAGAGGGGGUAGAAUUCCAGGUGUAGCGGUGAAAUGCGUAGAGAUCUGGAGGAAUACCGGUGGCGAAGGCGGCCCCCUGGACGAAGACUGACGCUCAGGUGCGAAAGCGUGGGGAGCAAACA